UGCCCUGUACACACGGAUAACAUACCGAAAGGUAUGCUAAUACGGGAUAACAUAAGAAAUUCGCAUGUUUUUCUUAUCAAAGCUCCGGCGGUACAGGAUGGACCCGCGUCUGAUUAGCUAGUUGGUGAGGUAAUGGCUCACCAAGGCGACGAUCAGUAGCCGACCUGAGAGGGUGAUCGGCCACAUUGGAACUGAGACACGGUCCAAACUCCUACGGGAGGCAGCAGUGGGGAAUAUUGCACAAUGGGCGAAAGCCUGAUGCAGCAACGCCGCGUGAGCGAUGAAGGCCUUCGGGUCGUAAAGCUCUGUCCUCAAGGAAGAUAAUGACGGUACUUGAGGAGGAAGCCCCGGCUAACUACGUGCCAGCAGCCGCGGUAAUACGUAGGGGGCUAGCGUUAUCCGGAUUUACUGGGCGUAAAGGGUGCGUAGGCGGUCUUUUAAGUCAGGAGUGAAAGGCUACGGCUCAACCGUAGUAAGCUCUUGAAACUGGAGGACUUGAGUGCAGGAGAGGAGAGUGGAAUUCCUAGUGUAGCGGUGAAAUGCGUAGAUAUUAGGAGGAACACCAGUAGCGAAGGCGGCUCUCUGGACUGUAACUGACGCUGAGGCACGAAAGCGUGGGGAGCAAACAGGAUUAGAUACCCUGGUAGUCCACGCCGUAAACGAUGAGUACUAGCUGUCGGAGGUUACCCCCUUCGGUGGCGCAG
rnacentral:rRNA from 1 species